GAUGAACGCUGGCGGCGUGCCUAAUACAUGCAAGUCGAGCGAACAGACGAGGAGCUUGCUCCUCUGACGUUAGCGGCGGACGGGUGAGUAACACGUGGAUAACCUACCUAUAAGACUGGGAUAACUUCGGGAAACCGGAGCUAAUACCGGAUAAUAUAUUGAACCGCAUGGUUCAAUAGUGAAAGACGGUUUUGCUGUCACUUAUAGAUGGAUCCGCGCCGCAUUAGCUAGUUGGUAAGGUAACGGCUUACCAAGGCGACGAUGCGUAGCCGACCUGAGAGGGUGAUCGGCCACACUGGAACUGAGACACGGUCCAGACUCCUACGGGAGGCAGCAGUAGGGAAUCUUCCGCAAUGGGCGAAAGCCUGACGGAGCAACGCCGCGUGAGUGAUGAAGGUCUUCAGAUCGUAAAACUCUGUUAUUAGGGAAGAACAAAUGUGUAAGUAACUAUGCACGUCUUGACGGUACCUAAUCAGAAAGCCACGGCUAACUACGG
rnacentral:rRNA from 1 species